rnacentral:lncRNA from 1 species
GAGAGUUUAGAGAUCAAAGAUAAACUGAAAGGCAUACUACACAAUAUCCUUGUGCAGGAAAGAAGCCAAAUCACUUCCAGCUGCAUGCAGUGGACAGAGGAAGAAACCACAUUGAAGCCACAGUGCAGGGGCCAGAGGCUGGUGAAACCAAUUCCUGGCAAACCUGAGUUUGGCCUGAAAUACAGGCUUGGCAAACCCAAACUGCAUGGCAUGGAGUGCGCCUAAGUGAUCAGUAGAAAAUCAAACAUGGAUAUAGGUUUACACAGGGGAAUGCUGGUUAUGGAAGCCCAUCUGGUUCUCCUUCAUCCCCUCCAGUCUGGUGGCCUUCAGGACCAGUUUGGAGAGAUGCACCUGGUGGGGAAUUUGAAAGGGCACAGGCACAAGAGACUGAGUUUGGAGACUAAACCUGAGACUAGGAAAUGCGGGCUCCUCUACCACACUAGUGGAACCUAGGGGAGAUUCUGAGGUUCAUUCUUCUAGUAUGGUCUGACAAUGGUGGGCCCUGGAGGUGCACUGACUUACACUCUCCAGAUAAUUGACAUACAGCAAAGAGCCUGGAGCCUACCAAAGCCAAAACUCCAUCUCCAGAAGUUCUGCCUACAGGAUUACCUCUCUCACCCUAGUAAUCACACCCUGAGGGUAGAGCAGGCAUUGUACUUCAGACAACCCCAUGCAAUUGCUGAGAAGGGAAUCUGAGAAUUUUAGAACUCCAAUGGAAAAAUAAAUUCUUUAACUUUUCAUUAAGAUCUUCCCCCCACACACUUCUUUCUUUUUUUCUGCAUAAUUGUGACCUUAAUGGUUCCUGGAUAUUUAUACAUAUUUAUAUUUUCUUAUUUCUAGAAUAUUUGAAACCAGUUUUAUUUCAUAGAUCAGUUUUUUGAGGACUAUGAAGUUUUAGUAGUAUAUUUUAAUUUUGCUUUGUAUUAUUUUAUUUUUAUUUUCCUUUUAAUUUUUUAAAAUUUUUACUACACACAUAUGUAUUUUUUUCUCUCACCUGUUUCCCUUGAUUCUCUCUUUUUUCUUAUGCUGGAAGUCAAUCUCUAUUGUUCUCUCUUUCAUUUUUCUUUAAUUUUUUGCUUCUUGCUUCUCUUAUCCUCCCUCAUUAUAUACUUCUGUUCUCACCCUGUCCACCAUUUAAAAUUAUAAAUCCUUUUGCAAAAUUACUGUUUUUAUUAUAAGGCAAUAAGUGAUUUUUUUUAUUGUGACAAUUAACAUGAAAGCAUAAUCUAUUUGAUUUAAUGCUGUAUAUUCUUUGCAUUGGUUGUUAUUAUCAUUUGUCCCACUUCCCCACUAAAUGGUGAGGUACUGGAAACCUUCACAGUUCCCAGGGUAGAAAUUCUACUACCUCAAACCCAUAUUGUUAGAUGGGUAGACAUACCAAAAAAAAAAAAAAAAGAAAGAAAAAGAAAACAAAUUGCCCCAAGCAAACCAACAUACUCCAAUAACAGAAUCCAUCCCAAAGAAAGUAGAAUAAAUAAAAGGAGUUUAGAACACAUAUAGUUAAACUGGUCUAUAAGGUAAAGGAUGAUAUAAGCAGUGAAAUCAGAAAGAAAUAUAGGAAGUGAAAGUUCACUUCAAAAAAAAAAUAAAGAUUCUGAAAAAGAAAUCAGGAAGAAGUCCUCAAAAUGAAGGGAACAACAAACCAUAUCAAAAUUCAAUUGAAAGCAUAACAACAGACUGCAUUUCUUGGAAGAAAGAGUUUCAGGGAAUGUAGACAAAAUAUAUAAUCUUGAACAUAAAGUUGACUGUGGCGAAAAGAUAUUAAGAGCCUAUGAACAGAUCUUCCAAGAAAUAUGAGAUAAUUUGAAAGUACCAAAUUUAAGAUUUAUCUGGAUAGAUGAAGACUUGAGGAUACAAACCAAAAGAAGGCACAGUAUUUUUAAUAUAAUAAUAUCUGAAAAUUUCCCAAACCUAAAGAAUGAAAUGGAAAAUCAAGUACAGGAGGCUUACAGGACCCCAAAUAAACAAAAUUACAACAGACUUAAACCAAGGCACAUUUUUAUGAAAAUGUCUAACAUAUAGAAUAAGGAUAGACUUUUUAAAAACUUCCAGAGAAAAAUUACAGGUAACAUUUGGUGGGAAACCAAUCUGCAUCUCAACUGAUUUCUCAAUCCUGGCCCUCAAAGGUAGGAGAUCUUAAAAUAAUAUAUACCAAGCUCUGAAAGAAAAUAGAUAACAGCCAAUAAUACUAUACCUAGUAAAAUUAAGCUUCAGAAUUAAUAAUGAAAUAAAAUGUUUUCACAAUAAACAAAAGUUAAAAGAAUUCACAAAAUACUACAAAAUAUAAUUAGUAAGCUAUUUCAUGAAGAAAUAAAACAUAAAAGUAAAAACCAGGAAGGGAUGAACUACAGUGAAGAAUAAUCAACCAAAGGAGAAACUAAUUUAAAUUAAAAACAAGAAAUAAGUCAAAAUGACAGGGAACAAAAAUCAUAUCUCAAUAAUAACAUUGAAUGUAAAUGGCCUAAAUUUAUCAGUCAAAAGACAUGAAUAAUCAGAUUGGAUUAAAUAAAAAGACCCAACAAUAUGCUGUCUCCAAGAGACUCACCUCAUAGGCAAAGACAUCCACAGACUGAUGGUCUGAAGUAUCUUAUCAUUUACAUGCCUCUUGUAAACAAGCAAGGGUUACUAUCCUCACAUCAGAUAAAAAAGACUUCAAGCCAAAGUUAAUUAGAAGGGACAAAGAAGGUAAUUAAUUUCAAAUUGCUUAUGGAAAUUAUACAUCAACAAGUCAUAGUUAUGACUAAAUAUUUAAUAUCAUAAAUAUUUAUGCCCCAAACAUUGAAGCAUCUAUAUACAACAAACAAACCAUUCAAAUUUCAAGAAUAAAAUAGACCACAAUACAAUAAUACAUUAACACUGGAUAGAUCUUUCAAACAAAAACUAAACAAAGAAUCUAUAGAAUUAAAAAUACAAUGAAUCAUUUAGACUCAAUAGCUAUAUAGAGGACAUUUCAUCCUUUAAAGACUGAAUAUAUUUUCUUUUCAGCAGCACAUGAAUUCUUAUUUAAAAUAGACCAUAUGUUAGGCCACAAAGCAACUCUUGGCAAAUUAAAACAAAAAUAGAGAUAAUUCCUUGCAUUCUAUCAGAUCAUAAUGGAACAAAAUUAGAAAUCAAUGAUAAAAUGAAAAAUAUAAGCUACUUUCACACCUGGAGACUAAAUAAUAAACUAAGAAAUAACAAAUGGAUAGCAAAAUAAAUCAGGAAUGAAAUAAAAUAAUACUUAGAGGUAAAUGAGAACAGCAGUAAAGCAUAUCAAAAUCACUGGGACACUAGGAAUGCACCAUUAAGAGAAAAGUUCACUGCAUUGAGCUCAUUUAUUAAAAGAAUAGAAAUUCAACAAAUAAAUAAUCUAACAUUACAUCUCAUAGCCAUAGAAAGAGAAGAACAAUUGACACUAAAAGCAAAAGGUAGGAAAUAAUUAAAUCAAACUGAAAUUGAUGAAAUUGAAAGAAAAACAUCCAAAAAAAUCAACAUAAUAAAAAGUUGAUUGUUUGAAAAAAUAAAUUAAAUUCAUAAAUGCUUAAAACAGCUAAUGAAGAGAGAGAGAGAGAGAGAGAGAGAGAGAGAGCGAGAAAGAACCCAAAUUAGUAAAAUUUGUGAUGAAAAAGAAAAUAUCCCAAAGGACAGUACUGAAACAUAGGCAAUAAUCAGAAACUAUUUUGAAAAUUUAUACUCCAAUAAAAUUGAAAAUCUUGAAGAUAUCAAGAAAUUUCUUGAGUCAUAGUACCUACCUAAACUGAAUCAGGAGAACCUCCAUGAUUUAAAGAGAUCAAUCACAAGUAAUGAAAUAGAAAACACCAUCAAAAGGCUACCAAUUAAAAGAAGCCCAGGACAAGAAAAAUUCUCAAAGACCUUCAAAGAAGAAUUAUCACCAAUACUCCUCAAGGUAUUUCAUGAAAUAGAAAAGGAGGGAACCCUUCCAAACUAUGAGGCUAAUAUCACCCUGAUAUUUAUACUAGAGAAAGACACAUCAAAGAAAGAAAAUGUCAGACCAAUAUCUCUAAUGAAUAUAGAUGCAAAAAUUCUCAAUAAAAUUCUGGCAAAUCACAUACAAAAACAUAUUAAAAAGAUAGUGCACCAUGAUCAAAUGGGGUUCAUUCCAGGGAUGCAAGGUUGAUUCAACAUAAAGAAAUCAAUAAAUGUAAUUCACCACAUCAAUAGUAUUAAAGACAAGAAUCACAUAGUCAUCUCAACAGACAAAGAAAAAGUAUUUGACAAAAUAUAGCAUCCAUUCAUUUUCAAAACACUAGAAAAACUGGGGAUAGUAGUAAUAUACCUCAACAUUGUAAAAGAUAUAUGUACUAAAUCCCAGGCCAACAUCAUUCUAAUGGAGGAAAAAUGAAAGCAUUCCCUCUAAAAACUAGAAUAAGAGAGGGAUGUCCUAUUUCUCCACUUCUAUACAACAUAGUCCUUUAAAUUCUAGCCAAAAUAAUUAGACAGAUAAAAGAAAUUAAAGGAAUACAAAUAGGGAGGAAGAGCUCAAAGUAUCCCUAUUUGCUGAUGAUAUGAUUCUAUAUUUAGAAG